rnacentral:rRNA from 1 species
GAUGAACGCUGGCGGCGUGCCUAAUACAUGCAAGUCGAGCGAACAGACGAGGAGCUUGCUCCUCUGACGUUAGCGGCGGACGGGUGAGUAACACGUGGAUAACCUACCUAUAAGACUGGGAUAACUUCGGGAAACCGGAGCUAAUACCGGAUAAUAUAUUGAACCGCAUGGUUCAAUAGUGAAAGACGGCUUUGCUGUCACUUAUAGAUGGAUCCGCGCCGCAUUAGCUAGUUGGUAAGGUAACGGCUUACUAAGGCAACGAUGCGUAGCCGACCUGAGAGAGGGAUCGGCCACACUGGAACUGAGACACGGUCCAGACUCCUACGGGAGGCAGCAGUAGGGAAUCUUCCGCAAUGGGCGAAAGCCUGACGGAGCAACGCCGCGUGAGUGAUGAAGGUCUUCGGAUCGUAAAACUCUGUUAUUAGGGAAGAACAAAUGUGUAAGUAACUAUGCACGUCUUGACGGUACCUAAUCAGAAAGCCACGGCUAACUACGUG